GUAUUGCUCCAGGACUGAA
rnacentral:misc_RNA from 1 species